rnacentral:rRNA from 1 species
CGCUGGCGGCGUGCCUAAUACAUGCAAGUCGAACGGUCUUUCUAUGGAAGCUUGCUUCCACUGAGAAGAUAGUGGCGAACGGGUGAGUAACACGUGGGUAACCUGCCCAUAAGAGGGGGGAUAACAUCCGGAAACGGGUGCUAAUACCGCAUAGUUUUCUUGAUCGCAUGAUCGGGAAAGGAAAGACGGCCUUUGUGCUGUCGCUUAUGGAUGGACCCGCGGCGUAUUAGUUAGUUGGUGAGGUAACGGCUCACCAAGACGAUGAUACGUAGCCGACCUGAGAGGGUGAUCGGCCACAUUGGGACUGAGACACGGCCCAAACUCCUACGGGAGGCAGCAGUAGGGAAUCUUCCGCAAUGGACGAAAGUCUGACGGAGCAACGCCGCGUGAGUGAAGAAAGGUUUUCGGAUCGUAAAACUCUGUUGUCAGAGAAGAACAAGUUGGAGAGUAACUGCUCCAGCCUUGACGGUAUCUGACCAGAAAGCCACGGCUAACUACGUGCCAGCAGCGGC